CAAAAAGCGAAAGUCCAAAAUAAACCUUAACGAACACAAAAUAAAGCGGAGGAUAACAGAACUAACAACGUACACAGACGGGAAAACACAAAUGAAAAAUAAUCAACCAGGGAAAACGAAAGUAACCAGCUCUAACAGGAGCAGCUACUGGUUUUGUCUGGAAAGAUUACAUCUAUAUUAACCUAGGUUUGUCCUGGAGUGAUGCUCGAGCAUACUGCAGAAACAAUUAUUUUGAUCUGGCGACUUUUGAAUCACAGGAGAAAUUUAACAACUUGGUGAAUAAUGGAUAUUCUCCACACAGUAAUUAUGGUCAUUGGAUUGGGCUCAGCAAGAGUCCAUCUGAGACAGUCUACAGUCAGUGGUCUGAUGGAACUGCACUCAGUUUCACACGAUGGUCAGCAUCUCAACCAUACAAUUUGCUCACUCAUCCCUGUGUAAUUCUAUAUAACUCUCUUUGGUACAACUAUGACUGUUCAGCACUUUUGACCUUCUUCUGCUACACAUGGAGGCCUACACUGGUUCUGGUGCUGGAGAUGAAGACCUGGAGAGAAGCACUGGAGCACUGCAGAACACACUACAUUGAUCUGAUAAGCCUGAACACAGAGAGCGAUCUGUUUGUGGCCAAUAACAGGAGCAGGAAUGCUACAAUGCCCACUGGCUGGACUGGUUUGUACUUUCUGGAUGGGUCGUGGUCUUUUGUGAACGGGCAAGGUCUUGGAAGCCUGUUUUCACUGCCCUCAUGCCCCAUUCAGCCUGUUCGAUGUGGAGCCAAAACCGGAGCUGAAGUCUUGGAGAUCAGAGACUGUGAGGAGAAAAUGAGCUUCAUUUGUUACACUUACUGAAGGCAACAAGGUUUACUGAAAACAAGACCCGGACAAGAUGAAAAGAGAUAAGAAGCUCUCAUACAGAUAAAUAUUUACUUUUAGACACAUUUGUACAGAUUCUACUGAUAAAACUUUCACUGUAGUUUAUUGCAUUCAUAUAAUUUCAUCUCUUUGUCAUAAUAUUAUGCUAUGAUAUUGCUUUAAUUAUUUCUUAAUGUACUGUAAAUCAUUUAAACUGUUUUUUCUGCUAUACACAGUUGAGAUUAAAUUGUUAAAUACACUGUAAUGGACCUGUUUGUUGUGGACAUUUUGGGAUUUCAAAAAUUUUUGUUCUUUAUUGUGACUAAAUAAUCAAACACUUGCUGUAUUUACCUAAAACAAAUCUACUUUUCUGAAAUGUAAAAACUGUGAAUGAUUAUAGAAAGUACCACACACGUUCCAGCAGACCUGUUUAUUGGUGCUUCUAUAGCUGUGCUCUUCAUCGGAAUAAUGAUCAAGGUUUCUACAUGUACAUUUGUAACCCAGCAGAUUUUGUUGUGCAAUUUAACGCAAAAUAAUUUUAAUAGUAAAGGUGUAAUAAUUUAGCACAUUGUUUCUUGUUUAUGGCUGAACUAAACAGCGUAGCAUUGCUUAUAACUACACUAAGCUACUACAUAGACUUGCUGUAACUGUUCUAAUUAAAGGUAUAUAAUUGUUUGUUAAAUCUAGAUAAUCAUUAAUCACUCAUUUACUUAUUAAUUA